GAAGAAAGUUGUGGAAAGGGAACGCACUUUGUCAGGAGAAGAGAGAUGGUUCACCACAAUGAAGCAUGUGAAAUGUGUACCCGCACGUGCAUGUUGAUACAUGGACAAAGGGAUCCCUCACCAAUUGUUAACUCUUUCUUCAAAGUCAUGAUCGAUAAACGCUUUUCCAAAAUUCUGUACUUUCCCCCCAGAUUUGCUCGAUUGGUGUCUCACUUGACUGAUCAAGAAACUUAUCUGGAGGACUCAAGUGGACAGCAAUGGAGGGUGGGAAUAUGUAAUCAUAAUGGUUCUCUUGCAAUUCGACAAGGAUGGCGUACCUUUUCAUCAGAGCAUGGUCUAAAAGUGGGAGACUUUUUGGUUUUCCACUAUAUUCAGGGUCAGCACUUCGUUGUUCAAAUAUAUGGAACAAGUGGUUGUCAGAAGAUCAACUCUUAUAAUGGCACUCAUUUGGGGAAGAAAAGACCGAGAACUAAUUCUACAGAAACUUCCCAUGAUGAGCUGUCUCCUGAAACUGACAUAAAUUUAAGGAAAAAAUGGAAUUCAACACCCUCAGUUACUGCUAUACCAGAGUCUGAAAGGGCUGGACACCAGCCAGUGACCACAACUUUUGCAUCAAACAUCGAUGCCGAAACUGGAGAGCAACAAAUAGUUCCCCAAGAAGAAGGAACCAGUGAUGUUCUACAAGGUGAAAACAGACCUCAUAAUCACACCGAUAUAAUAUCACAAAGGGA
rnacentral:misc_RNA from 1 species